AUAAUGAUACACUCGCAUGGUGCGAUUCACCCAUAAGAAUGGGAAUGGUGAAAUUCCAGUGG
rfam:Eubacterium ventriosum ATCC 27560 Scfld0223 genomic scaffold, whole genome shotgun sequence.